rnacentral:lncRNA from 1 species
ACGGACUCAAGACAAUUACACGGAUCAUCCUACCAUCACACCAAUAUAAAUUGCAUCCAUUACAUCAUUGGUAAAUUCAAAGUAAUAUGCACUUUGCGCCUCAUCGGCAUAAGCCAAAGUAAUGUGUGCCCAGUACCUCAUCAGAAUGUCUAAAGUAAUAUGCGCUCAAUGCCUCAUCAGUACAAAUCGAAGUAAUCCCCAUAUAACUAAUCCUUAUGACAUUUCAACUAUACUGGACUCUAUCUGAGACCAUGUAAUAUAAUAUUCAUCAUAUCAAUAUAUAACUAAUCCUUAUGACAUGUCAACUAUACCCA